AUUGAACGCUGGCGGCAGGCCUAACACAUGCAAGUCGAGCGGAUGAAGGGAGCUUGCUCCUGGAUUCAGCGGCGGACGGGUGAGUAAUGCCUAGGAAUCUGCCUGGUAGUGGGGGAUAACGUCCGGAAACGGGCGCUAAUACCGCAUACGUCCUGAGGGAGAAAGUGGGGGAUCUUCGGAUCUCACGCUAUCAGAUGAGCCUAGGUCGGAUUAGCUAGUUGGUGGGGUAAAGGCCUACCAAGGCGACGAUCCGUAACUGGUCUGAGAGGAUGAUCAGUCACACUGGAACUGAGACACGGUCCAGACUCCUACGGGAGGCAGCAGUGGGGAAUAUUGGACAAUGGGCGAAAGCCUGAUCCAGCCAUGCCGCGUGUGUGAAGAAGGUCUUCGGAUUGUAAAGCACUUUAAGUUGGGAGGAAGGGCAGUAAGUUAAUACCUCGCUGUUUUGACGUUACCAACAGAAUAAGCACCGGCUAACUUCGUG
rnacentral:rRNA from 1 species